rnacentral:lncRNA from 1 species
GAGAUAUCAGAAGACUGAAGGAGUUGUGAUGGAUGUACUGUAUGAGAAAAUGGAAGUGCUGGAAAUAAACUUGGGGAAAUCAUAAAAUCGUAGGAGGUGGUUAGAUGAGUUCAUUGCUUUCCUCAGUGCAUGAAUUUCUAUGGCCAGUCACAGGAAAAGGCUUUCCUUAGGAACAUUUCUGCGGUGCAAGUUUCCGCUGUCAGUGCUCCAAGCCCAACUGUGACCACAUUGCUGCAGCUGGCGCUGGGCUGGAUAUGAUCACCCCAAAACUUCAGAGAAACAGAGUCCAUUUAGAGGGGACUUUCAGCUGCAGUUACAGUGCUGAGGAAAUGCCUGCUUCUUAAAGACGUACAGCAUAAAUAUCCAACAGAAAGCUGAGAAGAGUGUCAUGAAAACAUUCAAGAAGUAAUUUGAAAUGAAGAAUCCCUGACUGUCUCAUCACAAGUUCAUCUGCCACAGGAAGGCUAACCUUUGAAGAAACAUUUAUCAGAGUGAGCUAUUUGAUCAGGUGUAGCUCGGAGGUGGAUUUCCUUUCAGUGGUAUGUAGCUCCAAGCCAGCGCCCUGAUUGCUGUUACUCACACUGCAAUAUUGGACUCUGUGCCCUCCUUCUCUUCCUAAAAGGGCUACUCCUAGUCCUCACGAGACAGUGCAGUCUGGGAAGGCGACUGAGAAAUAAAAGAUCCUCUGCUAAUCCCAAAAGAAAACAAACACUGCAGGUAUUUCAUGUGACAACAGUGAACUAUUUUUAUCCUUGCAGAUGGCUGUGAUGGCCCCCUUUAAGUACUGGAAGGAUGCUGUAAGGUGACUGGGGACUUCUCCAGGCUGAACUACCCCAGCUCUCUAAGCCUUUCAGUAUAGACAGCCUGUCUCUGUUUUCUCAGAAUUUUCCUCCUGGAUAUACAGCCUUCAAGCAAGUUAUCCUCUUUUCAGUUUCUGGAAGUGGUCUCAGGUACACAAGGCCAGCUUCCUCAUACUAUCAUAGAAUCAUAGAAUCACCAAGGUUGGAAAAGACCCACAGGAUCACCCAGUCCAACCAUAUCCUCGUGGGACAAGUGCUCCUUACCUCUGCCAUCUCAGUGGCCUCUGCUGAUGCAACUCCAGUUUGUCAAUGUCUCAAUUAAAAAUAAGUAGUGUAUUGUAGAAUCUGUAAGAAUCUCAAUAUGACUGAAGCAGUCAGAAUAUGAGAAAUACUGAAUCAGAUAAUUUUUGAUGCGAGUAGCUUUUUUUUAUUUGCAUCUGGAAUACUAUAAAUGAUGUAUUGUAGAAAACAGACACAAAAUAUGAACUUCAAGGAACUCAUUUUUCAAACCUUCUGGAUUAUAAUUUAUCCAAAUGAAUUGAAGUCAAUAUACUUUGAAUUUUCUUAUUCCUACUCUUAUUUUUACUUUUGUAUCCUGUCAAAUAUGCUUCAGCCCAAAAACAAAGGGGUUCAUGUACUACUAGACCUUGAUGAAUAUGGUCUUUUCCCAUGGCAAAGUAUUACAUAAGGAUUUAAAAAGAACAGCUAAGCAUGUAGAAUAUUCAUUACAGUUGACUGUGAAAUUCCCUAAUGUGCACAAAAAAACCUGCUACCUACCCAAUUCAGUUAAAUCACCCUACAUUUUGUAGAAGAUAUCAAAAAAAAAAAAUCUAACCAAUUUCAUAAAAAGAAUAAUAGCAAGAAAAAAAAAAUAGCAUUAGCCCAUGCUACUGACAUUCAUCAUUUUAACCAAGUUAGAAGCAGAAGAGAAAAUUCAGUGAAUUACCAUAAAGAAUUAUAAGUAGAGAAAGAUUUUUUAUGGUAAUGUGUGAGCAACAUGUUGUGUAUUUCAAUCUUUUCCCUACAGGCAUUUUUGGAGUUUUUUUGGUCAAUGAUAACAAAAUAGUUCACCAAUUACCAGGUCAAUCCCAAAAUUUAAAAAAAAAAAAAAAUGGUAUUGAUAUUUAGCUCUGUCUUUAUGUUAUGGGAAAAGAUAUGGAAAUUGCAUAUCUUUGGUACAUUUCCAAUGCUCUAAAAAAAAAAAAAAAAAAAAAAUGUUAUCUAAUGCUCAGUAAUGUGGAACCCUGCUCUCUCUUCCUCUCCCUGCUUGCUCACAUAUGCCACAACUUGUUCCUACCUUUGUGACUAAAACCGAAGAAGUGUACUUAUAGAUGCAUUCUGCCACUUUCAUUCUCGGAAUUCCCUUGCAGGAAUAUUGUCCUUUCUGUCCAAGUGAAACUGAGGCCUUACAAGCACCAUAAAAUGUUUUCCAUGCCACAGUUUAAUUUGAUUUCAAGACUGUCAUUUCUGAUAGAAGGAACAAGAUAGAACAUUUCUAGUAGUUUAAUGAGGGGGAACACUACCUUUCCUUCUUAAAGUUUUAGUCAAAAAUCACCUCUAACUCCUGCUACAAUAUUUAUUUUUAUAUUUUCUGUUUGAAAAGCUUUUACAAGGUAAGAAAAAUCUACACAAUUCAGAAGUCCUUUACUUUUGCCAGUCUGCUUACAGGUUAAAGCAUUACACAGAAACCUCACAAUCUGAACUUGAUAAUCUUUUCAAAUGAUACACUAAAACCAUCACCCAGUUUCAUUAGGUAGUGCACACGCUGAGUUCUUGACUCACCUACUGCCUGCAGCAGCUGUUGCCCAGUGACUGAAUUAGUUACUGGGAGAAUAAAGACACCUGGGACAAAGGCACUUCCUUUUCCAUUCUGAGGUUCCUCACUGUGGUGCCAUGGCAAGGCUAGUGCAAGGUUAUUUUGAUUCUGAAUCUGGCAAUUGCAUUAGUCCCUACACAAAAGAGACAAAGAGCUGAGAGCAUAGUACUUAUGAGUGACAGCAAGUGUAAUGAUCAGUGUAAAAGCUAUUCUCCUUAUUUCACUCUUAAAACUUCAUCGUUUGUCCACGCUUUUCUUAAAAGUGUAUGUUUUCUUGAGUAAUUGACACACUGUUGGAAAGUUUUUCAAGAUCGAGUGAACUAAACCAACUAAAAUGAAUCCUAUCCUAUGAAGGUUUCACUAAGAUUGCAAGAAUACUCAUGUUCUGAAAAUUAUCAAAAGUUAAAAAGGAAACCAAUCCUAGUUUAUACAAAUUAAUGCCAUUUUAAAGCCUAUGUUCAAGACUAAGGCCACAGUGACAACAGAUGUGUCAAAUUUUCAGCUGAUUUUAAUCAGUAAAAUUCUCUGGGUUCCAAUAGAGUUUUUCUGAUUAAAAGCAGCUGAGAAUCUGGACCAAUUAUUUACAAAUAAAUUAUUCAUGAAAUAAUGGGGGAAAUUGCAAAUAAAUAAUGUUACUGAUAUGGCCUGGACACUAUUUUUACAAAAACAGAAUUUGAUAAUUAAUUGACAAAAAAAAAAUCAGUUGUCAUUACUAUUCAUCCCAUGUAAAAAGAACUUGGUAUACUGUAAUAACGUGAUAACAGUGACUGCAGAAUUGUUUAUUGGAUAAUUGCAAGCUAUAGGAGUGGAAAGCAUGUGUAUAGCUUACUCUGAGAUAGAAGCUCUUUUGUUAAUUAUAUUGCUAUUACAAGUCUACUAAUCACGCUAAUAUGAAACAAAGAUCAGUUUGACUCCAAAUAUCCAAAUAAAGUAUUUCAGAGUAGAUUAUGGAACAAAUCUUGACAAAUCUUGCAAGUGGCGGAACCGAUUUGAACAUGUGCCUCUGAAAAACAUCACUUGUUUAUACCUGAGAAUAGUGAGAGAAAAUAGAGAGGAAUCACAGUAUUGGAUACAUAAGCUAUUACUGGGUUCCAAAAACAACGCAGUACGCUAUUCCUAACAUCAGGCUCAGCAUCAACAGAGGAAACAAGCUGGAAAUUUGAAAUUAGUUAAACUUGCCGUGUUUCAACUGCAUCCUGGAUAUGUCCCAAGUAAGUAUAAACAAAUUUAAAUAUACUGAAUAAACAUCUGGACCAUUAAUAUUGUCAUAUAUAAUCAAAUGAGAAAACCAUUGCUUAGACUCAGUCAACUUUCCCAGGUACUAGGAACACUAGAAAAAACAGUCUUAAUUGUGCAAGCCAACAUAUGUCAAGCAUUACCAUAUUACCAAAUUAUUUAACAUAGCAAUUAAAAAUUCUCCCAGAGAACAUCACUAUUAAAAGCAAGGAGUUCAGUUCCCGUAGCUAUCUGUGCUUGGUAUUUAUUUUUUUAGAUUUCAUUAGCUUCUGAAUGCAUCAACAACUUUACUACUGUGGAAGACUCACAGAGCUUUAGGCCCUGAAGUUUGUUUUCAGUUCAAUAUUCAGCCAAAAUAGACAAAUUGAAGUCUCAUAUCUUCUGCUAAUGUAGUAAUAGGGGUAGCUGAGACCCAGCAUCAGCAGAAUCCAACAUUUUUCAUAAAUUCUUCAUAUCUGACAGUACUGAAUGUUUUUACUUGGUACAUCACUAUUCCCCUUCCCUUUGCUCUCUUCCAUUCCAUGUCUGUCAUCUUUUUCUCAUUGUAUGCCAUAGACCAGCACAAGUCAGACUGUAACUACUAUCUUGUGUUUCAUGCCAACAAGGCUCCCAUUUGCUUGGAAACCAUAGUUCUAGGAGAAAACAGUUUGGGAAAAAAAGACUUGCAUCUUCCUUCCAUUGCUGGCCUACGUUUAUAACAUCCUUCUAUCACUCUCAGUAAAACUGUAAAAAAAUUUUCUGUCAAGAAAACCAAACUAGAGGCAUUAUCUUUCCUGGUUAAGCUGAUAAAUUCUUUCCUGUCCUCAAUAGUCUUCAAAAGUCUGCACCAACACAGUGAGGUGUUAGUGCAAGUCUUGGGCUCAUGUCUCAUGGACAAGUUUGAAAAGAGGGCAAGUAAUUUUGUUCAAAAUUAUUGCUCGUAUUUCUUCUGUUUGGAUUACAAUUUUGCAGGGAUUUCUCUUUAAAUUGCAGGAAGGAUACUUGACAUUUUUUGUGAAAGGGAAAACAUUGCUCUGUCAGUUCUUUCUUUCUCCUUCACUUCUAUUAUAUGUAUAUAUGUGAGCGCAAAAUGUAGUCAACUAAUCCUGACUACAAAAAUGUUGAAGUGUAACUACUCUUUUUUGUAUUCUGUCAAAUACUGAAUGCUAAAACUGUGGUUGUUUGGGGACCAGAGCAUCAUCCUUUGUGUUUUAUAGCAACCCACAUAAUAGAAAACGUGAGCGUAACUGCUUCCAUUUCAGCAGAAUUACAUUUUGUCUUCAGUGGUGCAAAUAGCAUUGCAGUCCAGGGUAGGAUUAGAAAGGUGCUUAUCCACUGAAUGCGCUUUCUGUUGCUUUGGCAUUAUGUAAUUCUAAGUCUCUCACAAAUCACUUUCAGUUAAGUAGGGGGAAAAAUAUGCAUCACUGUAUUUCUGUCCUUGCUCAAAUUGGCUGCAGUGCAAAUCAGAGGAACCAACUGCAGAAAGAUACACUAAAUGUAAAGACAAUAUGGAAUCUAAAAAAGAGCACAAGCAUAAUUUGAAGACUGCUAGGUUAAAAAACAGAAUGAUAAAAUCCUAAUAAGCUCUCAGACACCUAGUAGUCCACAGGGCUUGAGUUUUCCCCAGAAAACUUGUGAAGGCUAAUUUCUCUGCAGAUACGGAACUGCCAUCUUGAAGUAAAAUCUGGUAAGGAUAUAAUAACAGCGUCUAUUGAAUACACGCACUGUCAGUUUUAUUUACGAAUGUGCGUGGAAGAGACAACAAUGCCCACUUGUGGUAUCCGAGUUCAGAGGGCUGACUGUCCUCAGUGGGGUAUGCAGAUCGCUGGGAGUCCAUAGAAGUCAGGAAGAGAAAAGAGAGAAAAAAGAAGAAAAAAAGAAUUCGAUACCUCUUGCUGAAUCUAGCAUUUACGUAUAGAAGGAUGACAGAUUUCAAGGUAAGGGAGAGGCAAGAGUAAAGCUCUGCAAGUGUGCCUGGCUUCCUAAUGUAGCGAUGUGGAGCUGAAGGGGGAUUUCAGGGUAUUGCUCUCUGCAAACGUGCUCAUGCCUUUUAUUUUCAUUUUAAAGGUAAUUAUAUAAAAUUUUGCUGAAAUAUAACACUCCCAGUAAAGUCUUUUAAAUAUGAGUGUGUGUGUGUGUUCACUCUACUGCCCAGAGUUAAAACUGACAAAUCUGGGGCCUCUGUAAGGAAAAGCGUUUCUCUGCCACAUUCUGUAUAUAGCCAGCAGCUCCUGAGCCACAGCUCUUUCCUUCCAAAGACCAAAUAUGAUUUUACCAGGGAGACUGUGUUGUGUUUUCUCAGCUGUAUUGCUUAUUUCACACAUUUUUUUUUAUUGCUAAUUCUGCCCAACUGAGGGAGCAGAGAGUCUAGCUUGUGGCCUUUCUCAGAGUGCUCCAACAAAUCAAACUGCUAUGACCACUGCUGAAAAAAGAGGUCUUAGGUGGUCAAGAAACUGUGAUGACAGAGAACCAAACAUAAGAUUCAUGUCUUUUUAGUUUGGACUGGAAGUGACAUUAGAGAGCUGUUCCCAGGGCUUGCAAAGAAAGCUACUCAUGCAGAAAGGUUGUGUUUAUGUUCAGUGCGGUCAAAAUCUUUAAGACAGCUAACUUUAUGCCUCCAGAGUUGUCUAUAAAAACAAAUCUGUAUUCUUUUAGCAUGACUUACACUUUAAAAAUAUCUAUUGUAAUGUGCUUCUCUUUUUCAAGACAUGAUAUCAUAGUAUGGUUGUUAUCACUACAAAGUUUAGCACAGGAUAGUGUUUGAGAGGAACCAACAUGGCCUUGCAUUCAGAAAAAGGGAACUCUGAGGCUCAUAAGAUUUCUGAUAUCAUACAGGCAUAUAUCUGCGUUCUCUAUAUUUUCAAUGCAAAUUAUAUUCUCAUUACUUUUUAAUGGAAGUUUUCCAAUAAGCUUGAUUUGUUUUUUUUUAACUUAUGUUGUCAUGCUCAAUCUCUGCAUGGUAUUUCUUCAUUUGUGAGCAACUCAUACACAAUAUUCCUCAGGUCUUUUUUUAGGUAUCCAAAUGAUGAAAAGCUGAGCCCCUCUGUGGGAAGUUGAAAUGAUACUCUCAAGGUCAUUUCAUCCAAAUGACAAUCUUCUUUUUACUCUCCUAAGCUGGCUGCAAAUGCAUUACACAUGUUAGUCAUAAAGUCAAACCCACUGUUUACACGAGAAAGUAGAAGUUGGGGUAAUGCUGUUUUGCACCUGUUGUUAUUCUUGUCCAGUAAGAAAAACUAUGUGUGAAAUACAUUGCUGUGUUUUCCUAAUGAUUUGCAGAAGAGUAAGAGCUUUGCUUAACAAUGGCUGUUUUUUUUCUUCUAAGCAAGGCUUCUGACAUCAUCCUAAAGCAUCUACAGGCAUAAAUUUUUAAGAACAUAAAAAGUUUAUGAGGAUGUGUAAUCACGGAGAAAGAGUCCGGGAUUUUUGUGAAAACAGCAAAAGAAAAAUGUAAAAAGCUAAGCUACAGCACAUACCAGAGGCUGAAGGCUGACUAACAUAAAUCCCAUACAUAUGUAGUAGGAAGUAAUACCAAGAGGAAACUGGAAGGCCUAAUUAAAUGAAGCUCAUACCUGAUGAAUGUUCCUGACGGCACUGGAAUAAUGCAGCAGAAAUGAAGCAGUACACAACAUGGAUCUUGAUUUUAGAAAGGCUUCCUAUACUGUACAAACAAGUCAAAUUCCAUAAUCUAGCUGCUGAGGUAAUAGUGUGCAGCCGCCAACAGCAGACUGCUAAUUAUUAUUUUUUUAAUUUACCUAGUUGGAAUAAGGUAAAAAUCCAGAAAGGUAUAAAGAUUCAUCACUAAAAUUUAGGUGCAUCAUUUAUAUAUCAAUUUAAAUUUAGAAGGCUAAGAAAUGUGUAAUCUAAGUGGUUCUCUGGAUAUUGGUUUGUGGUUGAACCUUUAUUGGGGUAAAACUCAGCACAUGGUAGGUGUGGCCACCUGAACUUUUUCCAUUGUUUCAUCCUUGAAAAUUUGGGUUAUAGCUGUUUGAUUUAUAAGAAAACAUUGUGUUUGAAAAGGAUAAUUUUCAAACAAAAGAAGAAAGUAGCAAUUUUUCCAGUAAAAAAUUUCUGAUAGGAUCAAUAUAGCAGGGGUGGAAGUAGCUUGGUUCAGCUUUAGGCAUUCAGCUUAAUCUGAAGAGUUUUUAUUUUAGCAAAUCAAUCUACUCACCUGUUGGCUUAUCUAAAAGUCUACUGGGGUGUCUGUUCAUCUCUUGGCAUAUCUGUAUAAUAGUAAUAAACAUAAUGGAACAGUUCUGGCAUCCUACUCAAUAACAGAGUGAGAAGAAACUCCAAGAAAAGACAAAAUCCUGCUGAAAACCAGCCACCGAGAAAACUCCAUAUAUGACAGCCAACAUUACACUCCUGACUACAAAAUUCAGAGACCUAUGCAUUUUAACCUGUAAUCACAACCUUUGAUCACAAGGCGUCUCAUGUUCAACAUUCCUUUCAAGGCUCCUUGAUGCUGUAAGAAACACCUGCAAGCAAUCAGCUGGUGCUCUGGAGAAUGCUUUCAGUUCCAGGACAGAAAACGUAAAGAAACAUGAACAUUACACGAAAAGCUUAUGUGGACAUUUUAUAUAUUUGUAGGUAUCUGCCUCUUCUCCCGAAGCCUUUAGAAGCUGUACUUCGUAGUGGAAAGGUAGUAGCCAAAGGCCCUGCAAACCGUCAUGUGUUUUUCUCUUCCACUUGCCAGUUGAUUGACUUAGAAAGGAGACACCACCACUCAGAGCCUUCCUCAGUUUGUGAGUCACUCUCUCCUCUCCCACCAGGCAGCUGGGAUCAGAAGACAUUAGGUAAUUAGCAACGUUGGCAGAAAACCUGCUGAAGCUGGACCACCAUGCUGUAGUUUCUCAGAGAAAUAAUUAUUCCUAACUCUGUAACAGGAUGAAAUGAAAAUUCUCUGGAGAAGAUGCUGGGAGCAACACUUGUCUUUUUGCAUUAGGAAGCACUCGAACAAAAUGUUGUGACAGCCAGGCCUAGUUCCUGAGAUUUAUUUUUUUCUGAGGACUAUCUGUCUGCACUGGUUUCUGGAGAGGCUCAUUUCAUCUCCAUCAGGGAGGACAGAAGAGUGCUCAAGUACUUCAGUCUGGCUUGAUGCAACCAAGACAUCAAACUCACGCUCAGGUUUCAGCCUCAGAGGUCGGAACUAAAAGCAGCUGAGAAUCCAGAUCUUCAUCUUCCGAAGAUAACUGAGCACAUUUCUCCUCCCCAGGAUGCUGGAUAAUCUGUUUGUGACCACGGAGCUGGCAAGUCUUAUCAGUCAGCCUUAUCAGCAUCUUUUAGGCUACCCUGAGCAUAUGCAGUAGCAAAGGGCCAUUCAGGAAGAGCUGCAGAGAUUUGUAUGUUGUGACUCCUAAACAGCCCCAGUCUCCCAGCCCAGUCAAGGUGGUCAUGCACAGAAUUUUAAACACCAGAGAUACUGAGGAGCAUAGGUGUGAAGAACACGCCGUAUUAUUCUCUUAAAAAUCAGUGUUUUAAAUGUGGCCUAAUGUAUUCCUAAGAUAUUUGUGUUCUUGUGUUGUUGCUUCAAAAUAUAGUGAAAAUAACAGGCAAAGAAAUAUAUAUGUGGGAUUGAUUAAACAUUCAAGAUGAAACUCUGUGCUCUUGAUCAGUUUUCCUGAUAGUUCUAUAUCUCUUGCAAUUCUUUAAUUUAUCCCUUCUGAUACGUGUCAGCAGAACUACGUGGAGAUUUUGUUCUGCUCUUUAUUACUCCAAGGUCAAAAUCUAUGAAGUAAGAUAAAUAAUUUAGUGAUUUUGCCCUUUAUACUGAGAGAUGUUAACAGGUACAAUGCAGCCAGGAACGUCUUCAAUUAUUUAAUUCACACAGUCAAAUGAAAGGAACACUGCUGAAACACUUGCCUAAAUUAUAUCUGUAUUUAUUUAAGAUGUUUUGCUAUCAAGCAGUGUUAAAAGCAGUAUGAGUCUUAUUAAAACAACUACUUUUAUCUUGGCAAUCUUCCUUCUCUACUAACACCCUUUAAUGGUUUAUUGAAGGGCUUCCCCUGUCAGGUAAAAAAAAGUCCCAAAGUUACCUGCUUUACCGUCCAUAUUUUCAUCAUCCAUAUUAAAUAAUGCAAUCACCACAAGCAUUAUAAAUUGUAAGAAUCAAUGCUGAGCAGGGACGGCAGUCCAGCCCUAAAGCCAAGGCUGUAUUCCAACAGUUUCAGUAUAGAACUUCUGGCUGGGGCACAGAUGUUCAUUUUCAUGCUGUGAUCUCCAUUCUCCUACUCCCCUUCGCCCAGCCGCGGUUGGCACUGCAGACACGUCUUUAUUGUAACUUUGUUCUUGUGUGGAUUGCUUUAACAAGAAUUGGCAAGUCGAGUAUAUGACGGUUGUAAAUUUAGCAGUAAAUAAAAGGCCUUAGGUAACCUUUUCCCCUUUUCUGGGGUUUAUUAUAUAUUGCUUUGAUUAUUUGAUUAAUAUCUAAACAGUAUCAUCUUUGUAACAUGCUGCCACAAAUAUUUGAGGGAGGAUCAUUUCAUCUAGCUGAAAUACCUGCAGACAUGCCCCAGGACAGUCAUCACUACAUGCUAGCCAUUUGUCUGCUCCAGGUGUGGCUUGGUGCUCUCCAUACAGAGCCUGCAGUGCUGGGCCACCUGCUUCUGGCUUGUGAGCACUCUGGGGGUGACAGAGGGCAGGUCUACCAACCUCCGUGCCUCCUGCUGAAAUGGCCACCUGGGAGAGAAGACUGCAAAAUUCCCAAAGACAGAGGAACGAAGAAAGAAGAGCAUGACUCAAGAGCCGAAUGAAUAACACAGCUGUCUAAAGGAUGGGGAAUAUGGGGACUGCUCCCUGCUACGGAAAUCUUCAUGGCUCCGGAUGGGUUUUUGACCUGAACUGCAAAAGCAAUCCGAGAACGUGGACCCAAAACCUAGGCGUUCUGGUAAAGUCUUCUGAUCAUCAAGGUACAAAAUCCUGCUUUCUCACGUUUGCUGCCACUAGGCCUUUGUCUUGAAGAAACAGGAGCAACUUCUUUGUCUUCUAUAGGUUAGAAGAUGAAAGCUGUCCUAAUCUCUGCUUUCUUUGAUCACUUAUCUAACAAGAACCUGCCACCUACCAGGAUCUUUUAAUAGCAGUGCAAACAGCUCCUAAAGCUGUUGAGGAAUGCUGUUUGCUCCACACCUGUGGAAAUGGAAGGAAUUUGUCAGGAAAAAAACCAAGACAGAAAAUUUUCUACAUUUCAAAGCUGCUUGAAUUUUAUAAUGUUCUCUUUUUACUUUAAAAUAAUGCUUUCGAUAUUUCUGUGGAAUCUUUUGUUUUCCCUUAACAGAAGCAGCCUCCACUCAAUAUUAGUCAAUAUAUAUUAAAUAUAUAUAUAUCAACAAACCAACAAUGUCCAGCUCUGCAAUAUAUGUGUUAUCUCUUUCAAAAUGAAGAAAUAAAUGAUACCGUUUUUCACAUACACGAUCAUUUUCAAAGUUUUCUUUUCUUUUCCCACAAGACUGUACUGUCAUACUGAAAGCUGGUAUAUUCAAGUGCUGAAAUUGAACCUAUGGUAGCAUGGCCAGAAAAAAAAUAUAUAUAUAUGUGAGAAAUUAGUAAAUUUCCAUUGCCCUUCUGUAAUAUGGAUAAUCUAAGUAACAUUUUAACAUAAACUGCCCAAUCUGACAUUUAGAAACUGAAUGUUUGUAUGUGUGCAAAAGAGAAACUAAAGUACAUUCUUCCUAAUGUCUGGCUACUUUAUCAGAAGAGCACUUUAUAUCUUUUAAGGAGCUAGCAGGCUAUUACAUAUGACUAAUAUAUCAAAUUCCAAUGCAGCUUUUAUUCAAAGUUUAAUAGAGAUAAUUGUAACAUAAAAGCUACCCUCUAGAUCUUAUAAUUAAAAGGACGAGAGCCUUAGAGUCAUAAGGAAGGUAAAGUUAAUUACUUACUUGUGUGCAGAACAAGUCCAUAAUCUUAAGUGGCAGCCAAUUUAUAGGUUUGAAUUCCUGAAUGCUAAGGUAUUAGGAGAGUCAUUUCAACUUCUUAUGAUAAUUUCUUCAUAUAAUUAUGAUUAGACCAUUAGAUAUCAUUUAAUUUACUAUGCCACUUCCCAACACGGCCCUUUCUCUAUGGUUUUAUUUACCAGAGCAAAGAUUUCAGGCACUAAUAUUGUCUGAAAGCUUACAGUAAAUCUAAGCAACAGAGAUGUUUUACAGUCAGCGGUAGCAGAAAACAAAAAGUGUGAGUACUGAGAUACUUUUUAGUAAAUACAAAAUUUGGUGAAGAAUUUUUUCUUAUUCUGCAAUAUUAGCUUUACUCUGUGUAUACUCUAUGGAUAAAGUUAAGAUUGAAAUUAAAAAUAAAUACAUGUGGUUUUGACAGAAACUGAAUCACAAGCCAGAUAUGGAAAAACUAUCUAUCUGUGGUGGAGUUUUUGAGCAUGAUAAAAAAAUCUUGCUCAUGUCUUAGCAGUCAUAAUACAACCAGAGAUGCUAACAUUCAUGCUGACCAAAGGUACUGACCAAGUUUUUGUCACUUUUGUUUAAGCCAACAGCAGUAGUUUCUGCAUCUACAGAGAACACAAAGAGAAAGAAAACAGGAAAGAUAUGAGCUUAAUGGAUAGGCAGCAAGCGUAGGCUAGGCAGGAUCAGAAAAUGAAUUUAAUACUUCGCGCCUGUAUUCUAAGUUUUCCUUAGUCAAGACUCAGAAAAACUACAGUAAACAUCAUGAAAUUUUCGCAACAGAACAAAUUUAAUCUAUUAUAUACUUACCCAUGAUGGUUACCUGAUUUUAGUAACACACUUGCAAAAUCAGCAUAUUAAGUAUGAGUGGUACCUUGAAUUACUAGGAAAUAAAAAACGUUCAUGAAAAUGUACUAUUAUGUUGAAUUAUUGCAGGACUUCUUAAGUUAUAGAAUCAUAGAAUUGCCCAGGUUGAAAAAGACCUCAAAGAUCAUCAAGUCCAACCACAAGCUAACCAUAUUACCCUAAGUCUAACAACCCUCUGCUAAAUCAUGUCCAUGAGCACCACAUCCAAAUGGUUUUUAAACACAUCCAGGGAUGGUGACUCAACCACCUCCCUGGGGAGCCUAUACCAGUGCUUAACAACCCUUUCUGUAAAUAAGGUUUUCCUGAUAUCCUACCUAAACUAACCUAGGCACAAGUUAAGACCAUUUUCCCUCAUCCUGUCACCUGUCACCAGUGAGAAGAGACCUACCCCGCUCUCACUGUAAGCACCUUUCAGAUAUUGGAGGUGAGCAAUAAGGUCUUCCCUCAGCCUCCUUUUCCCCAGACUAAACAGCCCCAGUUCCUUCAGUCUCUCCUCGUAGGGCAUAUUCUCCAAGCCCUUCACAAGCCUUGUUGCCCUUCUUUGGACCUGCUCCACCUCCUCAAUGUCCUUUCUGUACUGAGGUGCCCAAAACUGAACACAGUACUCAAGGUGGGGCCUCACCAGUGCCAAGUACAGGGGCAGGAUUACUUCCCUAGUCCUGCUCACCAUACCAUUCCUGAUACAAGCCAGGAUGCCACUGGCCUUCUUGGCCACCUGGGCACACUGCUGGCUCAUAUUCAGUCGACUGUCCAUCAGUACACCAAGGUCCUUUUCCAUCAGGCAGCUUUCCAGCCACUCUUCCCCAAGCCUGUUGGGUUGCCUGGGGUUGUUGUGAUCAAAAUGCAGGACCCAACACUUGGCCCUGCUGAAACUCAUACAGUUUACCCUGGCCCAUCCACCCAGUCCAUCCAAGUCGAUCAAGCCUAUCCAGGUCAAAUGAAUCAAUAAAUGUGUUAGUUCCUUGUUUCAAUUUUACUCCACGGGAAUUUAUGGCUUAAAAUUAAAUACUGAGUAUUGUUUAAGAUAUUCUUGCAUUUUUACACUAUGUAUUGUAUUUAAAAAAAUAAAUAAAUAUGCAUUAUCUUAUUGUGUCUACUCAUGUAAUACAUCUAUUCAGCCACUUUCACUUUCAU